rnacentral:rRNA from 1 species
GAUGAACGCUGGCGGCGUGCCUAAUACAUGCAAGUCGAGCGAACAGAUGAGGAGCUUGCUCCUCUGACGUUAGCGGCGGACGGGUGAGUAACACGUGGAUAACCUACCUAUAAGACUGGGAUAACUUCGGGAAACCGGAGCUAAUACCGGAUAAUAUAUUGAACCGCAUGGUUCAAUAGUGAAAGACGGUUUUGCUGUCACUUAUAGAUGGAUCCGCGCCGCAUUAGCUAGUUGGUAAGGUAACGGCUUACCAAGGCAACGAUGCGUAGCCGACCUGAGAGGGUGAUCGGCCACACUGGAACUGAGACACGGUCCAGACUCCUACGGGAGGCAGCAGUAGGGAAUCUUCCGCAAUGGGCGAAAGCCUGACGGAGCAACGCCGCGUGAGUGAUGAAGGUCUUCGGAUCGUAAAAAUCUGUUAUUAGGGAAGAACAAAUGUGUAAGUAACUAUGCACGUCUUGACGGUACCUAAUCAGAAAGCCACGGCUAACUACGUG